rnacentral:lncRNA from 1 species
GUGUGGUGUCUUUCCGAACUCCCUCGACCAUCCGAGCUUCCAUAAUACCAUCCGGGCUUCUCCAACCAUGAGCUUCUCUAUUCAACCACCGGAUUGCUCCAAAUGCCCUCUGAACUCUGCUAUCGGUCAAUUUUCUACAAUGAUCGACUAUUCGUGAAAUCUCUUUCAGACUUCUUCCAUCCUCGAACGACUCUACUCCGAACUUCUUUCGGACUUCAUCAGUGUCCGACUUUCUCCGACAGCAGGAUUUCUACAGUAACUAGAUUCCAUCCAAG